rnacentral:rRNA from 1 species
GCAGCCGCCGCGGUAAUACCGAGGGUGCGAGCGUUAAUCGGAUUUACUGGGCGUAAAGCGUGCGUAGGCGGCUUCUUAAGUCGGAUGUGAAAUCCCUGAGCUUAACUUAGGAAUUGCAUUCGAUACUGGGAAGCUAGAGUAUGGGAGAGGAUGGUAGAAUUCCAGGUGUAGCGGUGAAAUGCGUAGAGAUCUGGAGGAAUACCGAUGGCGAAGGCAGCCAUCUGGCCUAAUACUGACGCUGAGGUACGAAAGCAUGGGGAGCAAACAGGAUUAGAUACCCAGUAGUCCCUGUCUCUUAUACC